AGCAGAGUGGUGCAGUGGAAGUGUGCUGGGUCCAUAACCCAGAGUCUGAUGGAUUGAAACCAUCCUCUGCUA
rnacentral:tRNA from 1 species